rnacentral:piRNA from 1 species
UCCUAAUGGUGAAAUUUUCUCUUAGCCCAA